rnacentral:rRNA from 1 species
UACGUAGGGGGCUAGCGUUGUCCGGAAUCAUUGGGCGUAAAGCGCGUGUAGGCGGCUCGGUAAGUCUGCUGUGAAAGUCCAGGGCUCAACCCUGGGAUGCCGGUGGAUACUGUCGAGCUCGAGUCCGGAAGAGGCGAGUGGAAUUCCUGGUGUAGCGGUGAAAUGCGCAGAUAUCAGGAGGAACACCAAUGGCGAAGGCAGCUCGCUGGGACGUGACUGACGCUGAGACGCGAAAGCGUGGGGAGCAAACAGG